UACGUAGGGUGCAGGCGUUAAUCGGAAUUAUUGGGCGUAAAGAGCUCGUAGGCGGUUUGGUAAGUUGGAUGUGAAAUCUCCAGGCUCAACUUGGAGGGGUCAUUCGAUACUGCCAUGACUAGAGUUCGGUAGGGGAGUGUGGAAUUCCUGGUGGAGCGGUGAAAUGCGCAGAUAUCAGGAGGAACACCCGUAGCGAAGGCGGCACUCUGGGCCGGAACUGACGCUGAGGAGCGAAAGCGUGGGGAGCGAACAGG
rnacentral:rRNA from 1 species